GCCAUCUUGUGUCUAGACUUCAGAUUGCUAUUCUACCUAUACUAAGCAUGGUUCCUGUUCAUUAUUUUUAGCCGUGUUCGAAUCGAUUGCUUGCUCCCUACUUCUUCCUGUAUAUGUACCUACUGAAAUGAUAUUUAAGCCACUGAUUUCAACUCGAUUUUUACAGGUUCGUAUGCAUGCCAGGCAAGAAGGCGCUCUUGGAGCACGCCGUGUCUGGCGGCAACCUGCCUUCUUCAUGACCAUAGUGCUGAUCUUUAUCAGGGAAGUGAAGAGGCCCACUGCUCUUCAUCUAGCUGCUCUGAAAGAUGGGAGAUACAUCAGUGGAGGUGACCGAGCAUAGCUGCGACGCCUGACGCGAAGCAAUGGGCGUGACCCGUUGCUCUGACUAGCUCAUUGGCUCUCGUGCUGUCACCGUGUUGGCAGGUUAUGGUUGGCGUCGGGUACAACCUCCCUGGUGAGGUACUGGUUAAGCCCCUUUUAUGUCCGGCUCCCACGUGUGCUGUUAUCUUCGCUGUGGCUGUAUUGUGGUCUGGCAGUCAAGACGUUGACCUGGUUGUUUAGGUUCCAGUGGCACGAUUUCUAGCCUUUGGUCAUUGCAUCAAUAAAGGAUGUUCUAGUUAACUUUUUGUGUGAUGUUUAGGAUUAGGGAGUGUUUGAAUUCAUUGCUAGCUCUUGGCAUGAUCUGGGUGUCGUUA